UUAAGUAGUGGAUACAAAAGGCGAUUGAUAUAAAAAUGUCGCAUUGUAUGGCCUACUUAACU
rnacentral:pre_miRNA from 1 species